AAAUGAACAAAACCCCCAAAUAAAUCCACCUGGGACUGUAGGUGACAGUAUCUACCAAUAUAUUCUUGUUUCUGACUUGAUGUCUGACUAGCGUGUGUGACUUUCUCAGUUCUGGCCUGUAUAAUGAGAUCCAGUGCAACCCUAUCAAACCUAUAAUCUACAUUCAAGAAGUACAAUCCUACUCCUAGUGGUUCAAGAGUCCUCAAUCCAACAUGACAUUAGCCAGAAAGCUAUAGGUAGAAAUCAUAUUAUCAGAUAAGCUGUCCACAGCAUCCAUCCUGAGCUUCUGGCACCCCUAGAUUAUGCAUAUUAUAAUAAACACAGACUCUAGUAUGUAUAAACAUAAAGAAUAUAGAUAGAAGCACAUUCAUUUGUUUCAUGCCUUUACA